ACUGAUAUUGACCUCUCAUUUAUCCACAAGAGCGUGAAAUGGGAGGAUCCCCCGGAUGACCAAAAUAAGGUUGUGGGGAAUAUGAAGGAUGAAACAGAGACACAUGAGACCAACAAGAACAGGACAGGAGGCAAGCCAAUGGAGAGUGAUUCAGCAUGGCAUGAAAAAUAACCUCACAUUCGAGCAGCUCUCCAUGCUGUGUCUGAAGAUUGUUAAAGUCGUGACCCAGACAGCCCUCCGCAUUCUCCUACCAGCGCUAGCUCGUAUCAUGGGGGUGAACCUGAGGAGUGGGGCAACCUCCCCAGAAUCCCAGUGCUCUCUGACAGGGUCUGAGGAUUCCUUAGGCAGUCUGGAUGAGAGAGAGAAAAGGCUGCUGACCAGUGAGAUGAACUACUGGACUAAGGAGAGGAGGAGGAAUGGCAGUGCAGGGUGCCGCCAUAAAUCCACUCGCAGAACCUCAUCACCAUGCUGUUCGCCUAAGAGG
rnacentral:lncRNA from 1 species